rnacentral:rRNA from 1 species
GACGAACGCUGGCGGCGUGCCUAAUACAUGCAAGUCGAACGCAGUGGGGACGGGUGAGUAACACGUGGGUAACCUCCACUCAGAGGGGAUAACACUGGGAAACAGGUGCUAAAACCGACACUGGUGGAGGGACCCGGGGUGCAUUAGCUAGUUGGUGAGGUAACGGCUCACCAAGGCCACGAUUCAUAGCCGGCCUGAUAGGGUGAUCGGCCACCCUGGGACUGAGACACGGCCCAUACUCCUACGGGUGGCAGCAGUGGGGAAUCUUCGGCAAUGGACGAAAGUCUGACCGAGCCACGCCGCGUGAGUGAAGAAGGUUUUCGGAUCGUAAACCUCUGUUGUUAGAGAAGCGGUAUCUAACCAGAAAGCCACGGCUAACUACGUGCCAGCAGCCGCGGUAAUAC